rnacentral:tRNA from 1 species
GGAGAGGUGGCUGAGUGGUCUAAGGCAACGGACUUGAAAUCCGUCGUACGGGCAACUGUACCGAGAGUUCGAAUCUCUCUCUCUCCGCCA